rnacentral:rRNA from 1 species
AAGACUUGGCGGUGCCCUAUACCACCUAGAGGAGCCUGUUCUAUAAUCGAUAAUCCCCGAUUUACCUCACCAUCUCUUGCCAAUACCGUCUGUAUACCUCCGUCACCAACUGACCCCAUAAGGGCUUAGUCGGUUUAAUGGUCUACUCACCAAUAAGUCAGGUCAAGGUGCAGCGAAUGAGAUGGGAAGCAAUGGGCUACAUUUUCUACUUUUAGAACACACGAAAGAUCACUAUGAAACCUGAUCGGAAGGCGGAUUUAGCAGUAAAAAGGGAGUAGAGAGCUCUUUUUAAGCCGGCUCUAGGGCGCGCACACACCGCCCGUCACCCUCUUCGAUUUCAUUUUUGAUAGUUUCAUAACCCUCCCCGCGAAAAAUAGAAGAGGUAAGUCGUAACAUGGUAAGCCCACCGGAAGGUGGGCUUGG